rnacentral:rRNA from 1 species
GACGUAGGAUGCAAGCGUUACUCGGAAUUACUGGGCGUAAAGCGUCUGUAGGCGUUCCGCGAAGUCUGGUGUGAAAGUGCGAAGCUCAACUUCGUGUCUGCAUUGGAAACUGGCGGAAUCGAGACAUUCAGAGGUACCUGGAAUGCUGUGUGUAGGGGUAAAAUCCGUAGAUACACAGUAGAACGCUCAUAGCGAAGGCAGGGUACUGGGGAUGUUCUGACGCUGAGAGACGAAAGCGUGGGGAGCAAACCGG